ensembl:lncRNA
CCAGGAGCUGCUGUCCUUGCAUGACUCCACCCCUUUCCCCAUUAUCCUCUAUGCGCAACUUAAGGUAUAAAAACUACUUUGGAAAAUAAAGUGCGGGCCUUGUUCACCAAAACUUGGUCUCCCCAUGUCGCUCUCUCUCCCAAAUUCUGGCUGAGUCUCCAUCUGAAGCGAGGAACCCGCCAUGCUUACUAAUUAUGCCUGGGCUUCUAAGAUCCGACCGGGGAGGCCUCAGUGUCUCCUCUCCUUCGGGAGAACGGAAGGACGCCUGCGGCCUACAUGGUGAUUUUGGCGUUAUAGCUAAGAAUCCAUUGCUAAAUCUGAGAAAAGCAUUAUUGAAAAAUGGAACCAAACCCUGCUAACUUUGAAAAAACCAUUGUCCUAGAUAUUGAGAAGAUGAGCUUACAAUGAAAAGUUAAUCACCUACUCUUUCUGGACACCUUAGGCCAGCAGCAUUCACCCAGAAAGGAAUACUUCAUCAUGUAUCUAGAAUAUAUGUUUGUCCUUUUGCAUAGAAUAAAAUGAAAGAGUUAGGAGAGACAGAGAUAGAGACAGAGACAGGCAGAAUGAAAGAUGUAGAUAUUCAAUGUUAUUUAUUUUGUUGUCAAAAGCCACUUUGGAAAGUAAUGACCUUUAAUUCCAAACCACAUGUAGAAUUUUCUCAGAGCAUUGGAGAGUUCCAUGUCUUUUUUUUUUUUUUCCCUUACCUUUUCUUUAGCUUUUCAUUGUAUUUGGGUAAUCUGAAAGUCAAGAGAGGCAGACUUGUGUGUUUGGAUAUUUUCCCAGUUCUUAGUGAGCCAAUACUACAUUAUAGUCCUUGAAAACAUAAUUAUUUUAAAAGAAAUGGGUUGAAGUUCCCCCUCUCCCUUUUCACACACUGCAGGAAGCUGUUAAUGGACUCCCCUCCCGAGGUGCCUAUAUUGUUGGAAAAGCAAAAAAAUGUCUUGGAUCCAUUGCUUAUAACAUUUUGCUAGUAGAUAUAAAAAGCUGACAAUUUUGUCGUAGUUCUUUGUGGCAAUUAUUUGUACUUCCGUAACCUAGUGUGUACUUCAUGUUCACACAUGUCCUAAUUAUCUAAUUAUUCUGUUCUGCAGUGAGUGAUUUUGAAUAGCUUUUACCAUCUACUUACCAUAAAGGUAUAAUAAGAUGAUUAAUAAGAACAUGUAUAAAACAUUUGGAAUGCAGAAAGGAGCAAUUUUUAAAACUAAUGAAAUAUUACAGGGAGCAUUCUUAUUUCUAUGUUUUCAGAAAUAUAUUUGUUUUGGCAUAAUAAUACAUGAACCCACACAUUUAAGAUGUCAUAUUUUAAUAAGACAUGUCCUCUAUAAAAGUGAAAUAUCUGUAAUUCUUUCAUUGAUUUAUUUUGAAGUGAAAUGUUAUUUUUUACUACAAAAUAAUUCCAUUUAUUUAAAAAAGUUAUAAGUAAAAAUUAAAGGUGAAAAUAAUGCCCCCUGUAUUCAUCUCUGUGCAAAGUGAACAUUGUUAAACCAUGAGUAGCUGCCCUUCCAGUUGAUUUAUCAGUUUAUAUAGACACAUAGCUAUUUGUCACAGCAGUUAUUAAAUAAAUGCAUAAUGAUACAUAUAUAAUUUUAAUUUUUUUGCAAUGUAGUGUUUUUAUACUGUAUGUGUUUCUCUUCUACUGCUUUUUUUCUUAAUGAUGUAUUAGUACUUUGUAUACUCUGCAGAAUUCUGCCCCCUUAUUUACUUAGUUGCUUAAUGUGUUUUAUAGCUAACAUAACCAAUUUUCUAUUGUUAAAUGUUCACAUAGAUUGACUUUCUUUGUUCUGUUUACAGUCCAUGAUGAAAAUCCUGCCAAUUAAGUCCACUGCAUAACUUUAGGAAAAUUUCUCUGAAACAUAACUACCAGUUGUUCUUCGUAUGAGAAAACAUGUGAUUUAACAAACAAAAAUGUACUGGCCAAAUAGCUUUUGGAAAGAUACCAAUUUAUAUUCCCACCAGCAAUGUAUGAAAAUCCCCAUGCCCUAUUACUUAGGCUGGAUCUCUAGAUUAUUUUUAAUUUUUGUCAAUUGAAAAACAUCUGACAUCUCAUUAUUUUAAUUUGUUUGAAUUAAAUCCUGAGUUAAG